rnacentral:rRNA from 1 species
GAUGAACGCUGGCGGCGUGCCUAAUACAUGUAAGUCGAGCGAACGGACGAGAAGCUUGCUUUUCUGAUGUUAGCGGCGGACGGGUGAGUAACACGUGGAUAACCUACCUAUAAGACUGGGAUAACUUCGGGAAACCGGAGCUAAUACCGGAUAAUAUUUUGAACCGCAUGGUUCGAAAGUGAAAGACGGUCUUGCUGUCACUUAUAGAUGGAUCCGCGCUGCAUUAGCUAGUUGGUAAGGUAACGGCUUACCAAGGCAACGAUGCAUAGCCGACCUGAGAGGGUGAUCGGCCACACUGGAACUGAGACACGGUCCAGACUCCUACGGGAGGCAGCAGUAGGGAAUCUUCCGCAAUGGGCGAAAGCCUGACGGAGCAACGCCGCGUGAGUGAUGAAGGUCUUCGGAUCGUAAAACUCUGUUAUUAGGGAAGAACAUAUGUGUAAGUAACUGUGCACAUCUUGACGGUACCUAAUCAGAAAGCCACGGCUAACUACGUG